rnacentral:tRNA from 1 species
GCCAGUGUGACUCAGUGGUUAGAGCGUCCGCCUGAGAAGUAAAGGGUCACAGGUUGGAUUCCUGGUCAAGGGCA